rnacentral:tRNA from 1 species
GCAUUGGUAAUUCAGCAGUAGAAUUCUUGCUUUCCAUGCAGGAGACCCCGGUUCGAUUCCCAGCCAAUGCA